rnacentral:rRNA from 1 species
AAAGCAAGAGAAGGUAUUGGUAUAAGAGAUUUACACACUUUUAACAUGGCAAUGUUAGCUAAACAAUGUUGGAGAUUAUUAGAGGACCUAGAUUCUCUUUGUGCCAAAGUUUUGAGAGACAGUUACUACCCUGGUGGAAACCGAUUAAAAGCAAAGUUGAACAGUGGAAGCUCAUGUACUUGGCAAAGUAUCAUCGUUGGGCUAGAAACUUUUAGGAGGGGCAAUAUCUGGAGGAUAAGACAUGGAACCCAAGUAGACAUAUGGGAGGAUCCCUUGGUGUCAACAAGUCCGAACAUGAAAUUAAUGACACCGAGAGGUAAGUUUUUGGUGAAAAAGGUAUGCGAUCAUCAACCCGAUAACUGGUUUAUGGGAUGA